GAGUUUGAUCAUGGCUCAGAAUCAACGCUGGCGGCGUGCCUAACACAUGCAAGUCGCACGAGAAAGGGGCUUCGGCCCUGAGUAAAGUGGCGCACGGGUGAGUAACACGUGAAUGAUCUACCUCCGAGUGGGGAAUAACUGAGAGAAAUCUUAGCUAAUACCGCAUAACACUUACGAGUCAAAGCAGCAAUGCGCUUGGAGAGGAGUUCGCGGCAGAUUAGUUAGUUGGCGGGGUAAUGGCCCACCAAGACGAUGAUCUGUAUCCGGCCUGAGAGGGCGCACGGACACACUGGAACUGAAACACGGUCCAGACUCCUACGGGAGGCAGCAGUGGGGAAUUUUGCGCAAUGGGGGAAACCCUGACGCAGCAACGCCGCGUGGAGGAUGAAGUAUCUCGGUACGUAAACUCCUUUCGAUGGGGAAGAUAAUGACGGUACCUAUAGAAGAAGCCCCGGCUAACUUCGUGCCAGCAGCCGCGGUAAUACGAGGGGGGCAAGCGUUGUUCGGAAUUAUUGGGCGUAAAGGGUGCGUAGGCGGUUUGACAAGUCUU
rnacentral:rRNA from 1 species